UACAGAGGGGGCAAGCGUUGUUCGGAAUUACUGGGCGUAAAGGGCGCGUAGGCGGCCCGCUAAGUCGAACGUGAAAUCCCCGGGCUCAAUCCGGGAACUGCGUCCGAUACUGGCGGGCUUGAAUCCGGGAGAGGGAUGCGGAAUUCCAGGUGUAGCGGUGAAAUGCGUAGAUAUCUGGAGGAACACCGGUGGUGAAGGCGGCAUCCUGGACCGAGAUUGACACUGAUGAGCGAAAGCUAGGGGAGCAAACGGG
rnacentral:rRNA from 1 species